CCUACGGGUGGCAGCAGUGGGGAAUAUUGGGCAAUGGAGGAAACUCUGACCCAGCAAUGCCGCGUGAAUGAAGAAGGUCUUCGGAUUGUAAAGUUCUUUAGUCAGGGAAGAAUAAAAUGACGGUACCUGAAGAAUAAGCUCCGGCUAACUCCGUGCCAGCAGCCGCGGUAAUACGGAGGAUGCGAGCGUUAUCCGGAUUUAUGGGGUUAAAAGGGUGCGCAGGCGGUCUGUUAAGUCAGCGGUCAAAGCCCGGGGCUCAACCCCGGCCCGCCGUUGAAACUGGCAGUCUCGAGUUGGAGAGAAGUAUGCGGAAUGCGCGGUGUAGCGGUGAAAUGCAUAGAUAUCGCGCAGAACUCCGAUUGCGAAGGCAGCAUGCCGGCUCCACACUGACGCUGAGGCACGAAAGCGUGGGUAUCGAACAGGAUUAGAUACCCCUGUAGUC
rnacentral:rRNA from 1 species